UUGACUGUGUGUGGCGGUCGCGCGAGCGCUACAUUUUGCAACGCGCGCAGACGACCCCGGUUAUUACGUGCUGUCCUGAUAAGCAAUUUGCAAGUCCAAUGCAAAUAUUAAUACUGAUGAAAAAAGGAAAAGCAGUCUGAAAUUUGCAAUUAUGAAUUUACCACAAUGUUGACUCUAUCCAGUAAAGUGCAUAUCAUCAGAUGAUAGCAGCUAAUGAGAGAUACUGCCAGCCACACUGAAAGGUAGGUAUGAAACUGUGAAAACAUUUUCUAUAACAGAAAACGAGAAAGGAAAUAACUCUUAAUUACUUUCCAACAUACUAAGAAGGUAAUAGUAUGUUUAGGUACUGAAUAGGAGAAAUAGACACAGCUCAUCAUACUGAAGUUUUAUGACUAUUUUCUGGUUACAUCAUCCUUCCUAUUACACUGCAAUGCAUAUUUUGUCGUAGGUAUUUUCAAUAUUUUGGAACUUAAACUUUUUCUAUAACCUGGCAUCUCCAAGUGUUUUGGGAAUGCAGUGCCUCUAAUUUUCAGCCAAUAUAUUGACUUGGAAAUCAGAGUUGUAGCCACAGUACAUCUGGCACCAGUCUGGGGAAAACUACUUAAGGCAUGGGGUUUUACCAAACAGAUCCAGUUAACUGCAGUAGAUUAAACUAAGGAGGGCUUGUAUACUAUUGAUUUUUUGGGUUAAUGUUCCUUGUAGACAGUGUCCUUAGUCUCCAACAUUCUUACAUUUAUUGACAACAAAACCAAAGUAAUGUUUGUAGCCAGAUAGAAAAAAAAUAAACAAUUAAAAUAUGUUGUCAUAAAGGAACACCCUGUUUAUUCCAAUGACAAAGAGGUCUAGUUAUAUAUCUGGUUAUAUUCUCAUACACUUAGAACUGGAAGAUCUUUCAGGCAGUUUAUCCCCAUAAGUAUUAUUGAAAUAAAAAUGAAAUUACAACAGAAUAGAAGGCUUAACAAAGAGAGCCUCUGUGUGUAUGUACAUACACACAAACACGCACGCUCCUUUGGAACUGGAGCCAGUAUGCCUCUGAAUGGUAGUUGCUCUGUGAGAGUGAGAAUGCCAUUGCACUCAAAAUUUUGCUGUGAGCUUCCCAGAUAAACCUGACUGGCAUAUAGAAAUUGCCCUUUGGUCUGAUCAAACAGUGUCCUUAUGUUUCCAAAGUUUGUUUUUUGUUUAAGCUCAGCUAUUGCUUUUUAAUAUAUUUUCUGUUCUCUUUUAAAACAUUUUGUUCAACUAGAGAGGUGAAGGACCAGGGAGAAAAAAUAGAAACUAUCAUAUAUACUGGUUCCAAAUGUUUUUCCCCAUUUUUUUUCCAAUGAGAAAUAGAAAAUUAGGGCACGCACACACCCACUAUUGAUUUUAAAAUAAUAUUGCUACAUAGCAAGUUCACACUGAUGCAAGUAUGUUGGAUGCAACAUUCUAAAUUAGUAAAUAUUAGCAAUGAUGCCAUUGCUCCAUAUUUGGAAUACUAAAUAUGUAUAGAAAUCUUUCCAAAAUGAAUACAGAAUGUAUUGAUUGAAGAAUUUGGUCCUUUUUUGAAGUCUGGUGACCCCAUCUGAAAGUUCAUAAUCUGACAGAAUUAGUACUUUCAGUUAUAAAUUUACUAAUAUUGCAUGAAAUAAAAUAAAUAUGAUUUUGGGACAACUGUUUUUCUCUACAGUUACUCAAAAUCUGAGGGCUGUUAGUCCUGUCUAGCCAGAAACAGUUUUCCUGGAAUCAAUUGAUACUAAACCCUAGUUAAGUGUCUAUAGGACUGUAUGUUGUCUAGAAAAUAGUACAUUGCUAUGACGUUUAGCUAUCCAAAUGUACUGCCACUCCAAUAUAAUAUAACAUGAAUACUUAUUUUCAGACCUUCAUUCUAAAGUAUGAAUUCCUUUAAUUUCUGCGUGAUCAUACUAAGGUCUACAUAUGACUUUAAUUUCAAAUAAUAAAAUCUUACUUUACUACUAUAUUGAUAGUUUCGAUGUUUUCAUUUUCCCCUAUUUUCUCAACUGAAGAAAAAGUAAGUACCUUACAGUACAAACGUAUGGAUGUCUAUUAAGAAGUAAGUGAAACAGACUUCAAUAGGACUAAGCCCCAGGUAAGCAGAUAAAGGAUUGCAGCUUUAGACAAAACAUACUAUGUGGUAACACUGGCCAGAUUUGAAAUUACUGUUCAAAUAAAAAUGCUUCUAUUUUGAAAUUUUAUAAAUACAUCAAACAGUACCAUUAUGUGCUGAUCUAUAUAUUAUAUAAUUCAUGUUCCUUAUAAGAAAAUAAGCUUCCUCUAUAUUUCAAUUUUCUCAUAAUGUCUGGUUUUGUUUUUUCUUUUCCCUGGAAAACCAUACAAGCUAAAGCAUAGCUUUUUCCACAUUUUCAAAAUGCAUAGGAAUGGCUACAUCUCUAUAAGCUUCAUAGUUCCUUAUAAAAGGCUUUACUUUUUUUGAAUUGUAGGCAGAAGCUGGUUCAUACUGUUAUAAACUUUCCACAGCACUGGAUACAAUACAGACUUCUAAUUGGGAAUCUGACAGAAUCAAAAAUGGAUUAUAACGUAAAACAAUCAACAAAUGCCAAAUGUACAGGAAGUAUUCAGGAGUAAUUAAGCUAUCAGCCAUCUAUUAAAGAGUUACAAGUAUUACUUUAGGAGACUUCCUAUACAUUCAGUAGGUAUUCCAUUUUUACUCUCAGCAAAACAAGCUUAAGAUGGAACAUCUGAGAUCAAUAACAUUAUAGAAAUAGAAAGCAGUAGCUUACAACAGAACUGAAAGAAAUUUUUGCUUGUAGAUGUCAGGAUCUCAAUCUCACAGUACCCCAAACUCUCAUUCAUAGACUAAAUCAUGUUGUUGGCUUGUAUAAGUAAGCCAUAUAAUGUUUAAAUCCAUCAUUCUGACUUUGAUACUUGGUUUGCAAUUCCUUUUUUCUGGGUUAAGCUAAAUAUGAAAACAUGUUACAGCAUGCCUCUCUGUAAAAAAUAACACAGCACUUCUUGCUCUUAAAUGAACAUAAUGCAUCUUUAAAUUUGUGAAAGACAGCUUUCUCUUAAGUAAUAAUAUUACAAAUGGGCCUUUCCUGUACAAAUGAAAGACAAUGACCAAGAUGAAACGCACAAAAUACAUUGAACAUAGACUACAUACAGAGUUAAGCUAUUGACACAAAUGAAAAGAGGGAGGUAAGAGAAUAUUUUCAGAAAUAGAAGGUAAAAAGAACCCACCAUAGAUAUAUGAUUGUGAAUUACAUCCAAAACAUCCAGAGAGUGUGUAGCUGUAUAAAUGUAUAGAAAAAAAUGUAGCUGCUAUCUGGAAAUCUAAAGCAAGACAAAUUUCAGAUACUUUGAUGGAAGAAAACCUGAUGAAAAGAAAACAUUAGUGAUAUAUAACAAUAGUGGCAGGUCAACACUAAAACUUAAGUUCGUAUUUAAAAAAAAAAAAUAACUAACACACAGGUUGAAAACCAGACAGACCUGUGCAUUAGUGAUGCUUUUGCAUGCACAGGAAGGAGACCUGCUUUUUUUCUUCUGUCUACAUCCCUUCAGAGUGCAUGGAUUAGUUGUUCCAGGGGGCCUUCAUAGAUCUUUGAAGGUCUUUAUAAGCAGCUUUGAAGAAAGUAAUGGAGCUACACGGAAAAAGAGAGCUAGAAAAGUUGCACUGUAAGUAAAUGCAAUACCAUCCCUUAUGUCCUAGAAUUUAUAGCCCUUGGCCCAUAAAGCACAAUGCUCUUUUACCAACAUCCAUCUUCACUUGACAAAAAGUGUGAAAUUAUCUAGGUGCAUGUCAUUUCCCCACUAAAUGAUGUACCUUCUUCAUAUAACUCUCUGUUGGUAUAACUUGAGAAAGCAAAAACAUUUUCUAGAACUGCAACACAAACUUGUUAACUAAUGGAAUUGAGCAGAACAUGUUUUUAAAUUACUAGUUGUUGGACUUAUGGUUAGUGGAUUUAAAGUGCAUCUUAAGAUCAUGGGUAAUUUUAAACGAAUUCCAUGAGCUACAUGACAUCUGAAUGUAAGUUUAAUGAAACUAAUAAUUUCAUAUGUUUUUAUCUCUCCCAAAUCAGCCACUAAACAGCAUUCCCUUCAGUACAAAAAUUGGCUUUACUAAAUUUAGUAAAAGGAUUUACUAUAGAAAGCUGGUCCUAUUAGGAGAGGUUUGUAGGGCAACAGCUGCCUGUCAGUCCUUUCUCAUAAACCCAGCACCCUGAAAGAAAACUGUACCAUUGUUUGACAACUGAAGGUGACUAAAACCUUUCUCAUUUAUACCACAUGAAGCCAUAAAUUCAACUGGAAUAUGUGAAUUUAUAAACAUAUAUUAUGAGAAAUUCUACUGAUUUGCAAAUAAUGCAAGUUUCAGGCAGCAUAGGAGUGUCAUAAUGCCUUCAGUGAUUUUAGGCACAUGGCCAAUUUGUCAUAAUUGGCCACUACAACUUUCAGACAA